rnacentral:tRNA from 1 species
AACUCUUGGAAUAAAGGUAUCCAUUGUUAUGUGAUUUGAUAUAUUGCGGUCAAUAGCAUUUCAGUAACAUUGAUAAAUUAGGUGAAGGUGCGGAAAGAGAGGGAUUCGAACCCUCGGUAAACAAAAGCCUACAUAGCAGUUCCAAUGCUACGCCUUCAACCACUCGGCCAUCUCUCC